rnacentral:lncRNA from 1 species
CCCAAUGGAAGACAUCACAUGGUGAGCCAGUUUUAUUCAAACGAAGUGCCAUGAAAAAGGAGCUAAAAGUUUGGUUACACUUUGUAGCAACACGGUUACUCCCUUCCACUCAUAUCAGUGGUGUCAUAAGGGAUCGUGUAGUGCUUAUUUAUGCCAUUGUCACACACAAAUCCAUUGAUGUUGGUAAGGUUAUCUCUCAUGGCAUCUUACAUACGGUUCGUACUAAACGAGAUGGUAUCGGUUUGCCUUCCUUGAUCACUGCAUUAUGUGCUAGAGCUGGUGUGUAAUGGAGUGAUAAAGAGGAGCUACAACAACCAAAAAUUCCCAUCACCAUGGGCAUUCUUAAGAGAUUAGAGGAAUCUGCACCAGCCGCUGGUAGUUCUUCCCCAACUGCUCCCCCACCUUCACAAGCGGCUCCUAUGCGUAGUGUUGCUCAAUGGAUGAAGUGCAUCGAUCGUAGAUUAGAUAGUCAUGAACGCCAAAAUCAAGCGAUCGAACAAAUGAUGAGGGCUUAUGUCGAAUACAUUGGGACGGAUAUGACUACUUUUCCUUCGUUGCCUACGGAUUCUGACUUUGAGGACAAUUUUAGUGGUGAUGAUGUGGAGGACAUGUAGAGUGCAGUUUCAAAGUUAGGGGAAUAUUCUUGUCCUUUUUCUUUUACUUUCUUUUAUCACAUUAAGGACAAUGUUUAUUCCAAGUUUGGGGGAGUGGUUUAUAAUUUUGUUAGUUUAUUUUUUUAGUUGGCUUUAUUUAAGAUAUGUUUUGCAUAUUUAUGUUUUGCAUGUUUUAUUGUGUUUUAAAAAAAAUUGAGAUAGUUGCACCAAAUUCAUGAUUGUCCCAAUCCUAGGAUGAUAAUUUAAUUAUCUUUUGAUUCUUAGCUUUUGGGAAGAAUAUAGUUAUGAUUUCAUUUUAUGUGAUAUUCUUGUGUUAGUUUUAUUUUAGAAUGUGACUUCCAAUAAUUUGAGCACUAUACUAUUUUACUUAGAAUUUUUGUGUGAUUUAGAGAAAUUUUAUGUUGAUGAAAAAGUAUAAUGAAGUCAAGAAUUCUAAAAUUUGUUUGAUUCUCUCUUGAGGCGAAAUCUUAGAUAACACUUAGGAUAGGAAGUGAUUUAGGCCAUAUUUAGAUUGUUUGAGCCUUUUUGAGCCUACCUUGUUAUAUUUAUCCUUAGUCAUCCUUUUUUGAGCCUAAUUUACCUUUUCUUUGUAAUUACACAAUUAUAUUAGCCUUGACCUGUCUAUUUAAAUCCAGCGAUUUGAAUAUUUCACCUUCUAAGUAUUUUAAUCUUUCUAAUGAAUGAUUUGAGUCUAAGAAUAAAUUGAGGGAGAAAGGUGAAAAAAAAAACAAAAAAGAAGUGAUGGUUGUUAGGAAAAUGACCCCUAGUUUAUAAUUGUCAAAAAUAAGUUUGGGAGUUAAAAAAAAAGGAAAAGAAAAGAAAAAAAAAGAAAUAAAGUAUGUUGUACAAAGAAAAGUUUACUCCAAGUUUGGGGGUGCUAUUACAAAAGAAAUUGAAUUGAGCUCUUUAUAUGUCUUAGAUUGAUUAAUUGCUUAGGGUAAAUUUUAGCCUAAAUAUAUCUUUUAUCAUACCUUGACCCUAGCCUUACAUUACAAGCUUGAUAAAGACCUACUGAUCCUUGAAUAAGUGUUAAUCUACAUUAGUAGAGAGAGAGAUGAAAAGCAAACUUAUGGGAUCCUAGUACUAAUCUAUGCUUAGAUGUGGCAUAAACUAAUCCGAAUUGCAUGAUAUUCUUUGUAAGAGAGCAUUCACACACACACACACGCACACGGGAAGUCCAUUCAAAAAGUAAGUUUUCACUUGAAUUGAUGCAUGAAUUUAAGGAUUAGCUGUAUGUUACCUUAAGUUGGAAUUUGAGUUAAUUUCUGAGGAAAAAUUAGGAAAUCAUAAUUUGGUAUUUCUAUCUCUUGUUCAAGGUUUUUUCUUUUUUAUGUUCAGUUUUCAUUUUGUGAUUCUUUUUUACUCGAGAACUAGCAAAAGUUUAAGUUUGAGGGUGUGAUCUUUCUAUUUUAUAGAAUUAUUUUAGUCCAAUUUUGGUAUUAAAUAUUAGCUAAGUUCUCAAUUUUCAAUUAUAAUUUAUUUAUUUAUAGUUGUUUUUAUAAUUAGUUUAUUUUUUAAUGAGUUAUUUUAAUUUUAUGUUAUUCUUUUUAAUUUGAUUAUUAUUUAUUAGUUUUUUUAUAUUUUUUGUAGUAAUAAAAGAAUGGGGUUUGAUUUUGGAAAGUGAGAUGUUGAAAGACCUGAAAGUCUGCUUGUAUAUUUUAGCCAUAACUCAAGCUACAGAACUCCAAAUGAUGAGAUUCUUAGAUCAUUGGAAAGAUAAGAGAUAGAGCUACAACUUUUAUGAAUAUUACUUUAACCAGUUCUUCCUAGAAGAUAGGGAAAAUUAUGUUGGAAAAUGGCUAGAUGUACUGUGCCGGGAAUGGUAAUUUGUAAAGAUUGACAAUUGAUUUUUGGGCCUCUCAUUACACUUUUAAGCCCAAUUAAACCCUAGGUCAACUUAAGGAACUUUAGGUUAAGUUUAUUAGUAUAAAUAGGAUAUGUUUAACAACAUUAGAGAGACAACUUUUGGGAGAUUCAAGAAGCUAGGAGUUAAGGUUGAAACUUGGAGAUCAAGGCGACAAAUAUUGUUUUGUUUUCUUCCUUGGAUUUUAUUUUUCUUGUUACUCUCAAUGGUUGAAUUUAUUAUAAUGUUAUUUGUUUUUUGCAAUCAUGAGUAGCUAAUUUUCUUUUUCUAAGAUUGCAAUUGAACUCACAUGUAAUCUAGAUUUUUAAUCUCUUUCUUAUUUAUUUUCAAUGGGAACUAAAUUGUUUAUUCCAAUUUGUUCUUAAUGCAUUUAAUUGCUUGGCCACCAAUUAAAUUGAUUUAAGAAUCUAAACAAACUUGGGAAAGGGAGUUUAGAGUAUACUAAAAUUGGGAUAGCAUAUGAUUAUAUCAAUUGAUUUGCGUAUAGGAUUGGGAUAUAUCUAUAGGCCAUAUGUAGCCAGAUUAGAGCCUAAACUUAAUGAGUCUGUUUUAAUUUUAAUUCACUUAGGGAUAUAGUGGUUUGGUUAAAAUCGAUAUUUUUAUAAUAUGAGUCGGGAGACCCUUAUAAAUAAUUUAGGACUCUAGAUUAGCAAUUCAACCCGUUGAAAUAAAUUAAGGAAGAAGAGUAAGAUUUAGAUGAAGUGUGAGGGAUAUUGUAAUCUUAGGCUUGUUUGAUUUGAUAUUUUCUUAAGUUAUUAUUAUUUUGAUUUUUCUUGUUGGUUAAAAUUUUAGUUAAUUAGUUUUAGUUAAUUAAUUAAUUUUGAGUGUUUGGAUAAGAUUAAAUUGUUUUAAUUUUAGUACUUAGUAAAAUUUUAAAUCAAUUCUUUGUGGGAUUGAUACUUUACUUGCUUAUAUGCUAUCUAUUCGAUACGUAUACUUGCAUAGUAGAAUUUUAACUGAUAGGCCUCACCAUUUUUCAUCAAGUUUCCAUGCCACUUCAAUAUUGGUCUUAUGCCUUUGGUGUUGCUAUCUACCUAUUGAACUGAUUACCUUAUUUAGUUCUAGUUGAUAAAAGUCUUUAUGAAAGUUUUUUUAAACAACAACCAAAUUACCAUAAAUUGAAAGUGUUUGAUUGUCUCUAUUAUUCAUGGUUAAAACUAUAUUGCAAGUAUAAACUUGAUAGAAAAUCCAAACCUUGUGUCUUAACAGGGUAUUCCAAACACUAGGGUGCUUACUUAUGCCUAGAUCCCGUCACUUACAAGAUAUUUACAUCAAGACAUGUUUUAUUUGAUGAGCCUUAGUUUCCUUUCUCUGAUGUCAAACAUAUUAAUAAGAAUCUAUCUAACACUUCUCUUGUUUCUUUAAUAGAUUCUUUCCUAUUUUUGUGCCUUAUUUUGUUUGUCCAACAAGUUCUGCACCAACUCCAUCAUCAAUACUAGUUCACAUUACUUUUCCACAAGUUGCAAACUCGUGUUCUCAGUCUUCUUCAUCAUCCCUAUUAACUCAAGUAUCCUUUUCAUCUCAACCUUCACUUUUGAGCUUAACUAACAUUGUUUCAAAUCCUAUUCCAUAAAGAACUCAUCCUAUAGUUACUAGGUCACAAAACAAUAUCUUUAAACCUAAACAAAUAAACAUGAUUACUAAACAUUCCUUUCCUUAGAUAUUGAACCUUCUUGUGCCACUCAUGUAAUUAAAGAUCCUUAGUGGAAGUAGGCAAUGCUUGAAGAACUCAAGACUUUGAAUGCAAAUGGUACUUGGGAAUUUGUUUCUCCUCUGUCAACAACUUGUGAUAAAGUGCAAAUGGAUCUUCAAAAUCAAAAGACAUCUUGAUAGUUUAAUUUCCCGAUUUAAAGUCAUAUUAGUGGCCAAUGGUUUUAAUCAAAGGCCUAGAUUUGAUUACAUUGAAACCUUCAACCUAGUUGUCAAACUAGUCACAAUCAGAUUAGUAUUAUGCUUGGCAUUAUCUAAACAAUGGCCCCUCCAUCAAUUAGAUGUCAAUAAUGCUUCCUUUCAAGGUGAUCUCACUAAAAAAGUAUAAAUGAACCAACCUCCUGCUCUUGCAGACAAAACACACCCUCAUUAUGUUUGCAAGUUAAAGAAGCCAUUUAUGGGUUCAAACUAGCUACUAGAGUGUGGUAGAUAGUUCUUGACUCAUUUCUACUGUCUUAUGGCUUUUAGAAUUCAAUUGCUAACACCUCACUAUUUAUCUUCCACAAAGAUUAUGUUAAUAUUUUUAUGCUAGUAUAUGUUGACAAUAUAAUUCUAAAAGGUAAUGACAAUUAUUUUCUACCACAAUUUGUUCAAGCCUUGUUAGAUAGGUUUUCUUUUAAAGACUUGGGUAGAUUGAAAUACUUUUGGGUGUUGAAGUUAUUCCUUAUUCCCAAUUUCUGAAACCUUAGAUUUUUAUAUACGUGUAUGGUAGUGUAAUAGUGGUGACCUAGGGUAAGGGUAUAUUUGUCCUUUUUCUUGGUGAGUUUCAGCAAAUAUUUUAAUAUAUUAUUUCUAUGAAAAAUCUCUUGUAUACUUUUGUUAAAUCAAAUUGGAGAUUUAAAAGAGAAAAAUAUGUGAGAGAAAUGUAAACUUUUUGCUAAAGGCAAUUUCAUCAUUUUUACUUGGUGAGCUCCAUCAAGCAUACUAAAUCCAAAAUUUUGGGAGAUAUUUUUUCGAAAACUCAUCUUAUAAUUUAUUAAAUUCAUUUGGAGAAUAAAAAAAAAGAAAUUACAAAAACUAGCGUGCUGCCUAUAUGUUGCGCUUGGGAUGAGCUAAACAUAGAAUUUUUGUUUUUAACUGUAGUAUACGAUACUUGGAGAAAUAGACUAAUGGUACUUUAAUCAACAUAUAUAAUAGUCGUCGGAGGUUUCAAUUGUAGAAAAUAUUUUGUUGCAAAAUAUACCACUAAUUAUAUCUGUAGGCAUUUUAGUGGUUUGCUAAUAAGUUUCUUUGUAAAAAGUAGAUCAAAAGCUUGUAAUUGUGUGGUGGAUAUUUAACAAUAUGGAUGCAAGAUUGCUGCCUUCAUACAAAAAGGAGAAGGCAUUUUCAUCUGCAAUUGUAAAAAUAACAAAAAUUGAAAAAUAGGCUUAUAGUAAACUUAGUGAUUUUUUACAUUUGUUUCUUGGAUAAUAUGUCAAAUUGUAAUUAAAAAAUUGUAGUUUGUAGGUUAAAAUAAACAAAUGAAAUAAUGUGUGAAUGUAAUGAUGACAUUGUGGUAUAAAUUUUUUAAUAUGUUUUCCAAAAAGAUAUUGUAAGAAUGGUAGAUGAAUUGGAGAAAAACAAUUAUUAUAUAAUAAUAAAGUGAAUGUGAAAGUUGUAUAAAUUAAUAGAAUUUUACACAAAAUAGUAAAAGUACAAUGCAUUAUACACACACACACACAAACCAUUAACAGAACAAAUAUAAUAUUUGAAGGUGUGUAUGAACAUCCAAUUAACAAUAUCCAAGGAAAAAUAAUAAUAUCAAUAUGAUAAGAAAUUUGAAGUAGUCAAGGAUUAUGCCAAUCAAAAAUUUAUGUUGGCAAUAAAAACAGAACAAAAAUUAGGUUUGAAGAGUAAAAAAAAAAAACAACACACACACACACACAAGGGUAUAUGGGAAUGUGCUGCUAUUUGCAACUGUUCCAUUAUAAAACCAUUCUAAAAACCUUGAGACUUAAAAUUGUAAUAAGAUUUUGAACCUCAAUUAUUUGAAUCAGUCUUAUCUAGGGAACAAAACAACAAUAAAUAAAGGACAAUAGUCGAACUAACAAACCCACAGAAACCCUAUAACCAACAAACCCAAAUCCAAAUGAAAAACCCCAUAAAAAUCCCUAACAGCCGAACCAAGUCGACUUAAAAUUAAAUGCAAAAGCUGAAACUAAAAUUACGAAGUCAGACAUGAGAAGAAAAAAAUCUAGAAGUGAUUGGCCGCGGGAAACAUGAAGAAAUGCGAGAAGAAAAUAAGCAUAUAAGCCCUAAAAAUAAAAGAGCAAAACUUUAAUACACCCUUAGCUAAAAUAAAAAAAAAAAACCCAAUCAAAUAAAAAAAAUAGACAAAAACCUAAGGUUAAGCCCAAAAGCCCAAAGCUUAGACAAAAGAAAACAAUAGCCAACUUAACAGAAACAAAAGCUCCAAAAUCAAGCAAAAGCUCGAAACCCAAACCCCACUAACCUUAAGCCAGACAGUCCACGUCUCAAGCCAAAAACCUUCCCAUGUGUCAAGCUAGGAGCUCUUUGAGGCUUACUUUUACUAUUGUUAUAGAUGGAUGAUUUUUUUGGACAAAAAGACUAAAUGGUAACUUUACCAUUUGACAUUUUCUUGUUUCUUUUCUUCACCAACCUGAGGCUUUCUUUAAGAAAACCUUGCACUCAUGUUUGUUUUUCAUUUUUUUUCCUUCCAUUGUUCUUCCUUUAUUCUUUCUUUCAUCUCCAUUGACAAAAAAAAAAAAAAGUUCAACAGCCUUGUUCUUCUUCCUCCAAGAACCAAACUCUUUAUGGUGAGAGAAAGUUUCUCGCUCUUUCAUUUUUUUGCUCGUUUCUUCACAAUCUUCAUGUGCCAAGGUUCUAACUUCAAAUCUUUAAUUUUAAGACUAUGUCAAGGUAAGGAUUUUCAUAUUUUAGCUUCUUUAUUCAUGGGUUUCAACUUUAAAAUAUUUUCUCUAAUUUUUAGAUUUUAUUAUUUUUUUAAAGUUUAGGUUUUGAGUUUGGUUUUUUACCGCGAGUUCACCAAGGUAAGAAAAAUAUGAAUUUAGACUAUUUAUAGUAUAGGUUUAUCAUUUGGAAAAAAAAAUUAGAGGUUGACUUUAGGUUUUGAAGAAAAUGUGCUAAGGUUUUAUUUGCAUAGUAGAGUAAAUCCAAGAAUUGGUGAAAUAAUUGAAGAUAUUGAUGUUGAAUGUGGACCAUUUAUGUUAUGGGCUUCGAAAUAUGUAAAUGUUAAUAAAAGAAACCUAGGUCUAGAAAGAUAUUAGUGAAAAGUUGUUGGGAUGUUAGUUAAAUUCUUAAGUUUGGUAGAAUUUACUAUGGUUUGAUUUUGCAUUUGAAUUACCUUAGGUUUCAUUGAAGCUCCAAGGUUUAACUAGCUAAAGGAGCUUUAAUAGUGGUGUUGAUAUUGAAUAUGUCAAAAAGGUGAAUGGGUUUGUGUUGUUCAAUUUUCUGUCCACACAAGUAUAUGUAUCGCAAAGAUAAUAUAGUGAUAAGUAAAGUGUCGAUCCCACAGAGAAUUGAAUUAAUUCUUACUGUUAACUACUAAAAUUAACAUAUCAUAAUUUUAUCUAACAAUUAAAAUUAAAACUAAUAAACUAAUAACUAAAACUAAUAUAAAAUAUAUCAGCAAAAUUAUUUUAUUAACUUCUAGUGAUUACCAGACUUAAGAUUAUGAUAUCCUUCAAUACUUCUUCUAUCACGACCUGGUACUCCCCUCGAGCCCGUGACAACCGUCGCGGUGUCCCGAUCGACACUUAUUACCUAGAAUGUCAACCGGAACCCCGUAAGGUUUUAAUAUCAAUUUCUCAUUUUCCUUGUGAGUAACCAUUUUCAAAUAUCAUGUUCUAAAAGAUUUUAAGCUAUUUCCAACUUAAAUCAAUAAAAAAAAUUAUUUCUGUCUCACAGGGACAUUUUGGUCAUUUUUUCUCGAAAAUCACGAAACCAGCUAAAAAUGUAGUAUGUGAGUGGAAAACACAUAUUUCAUAAUCAAAAAUAAGUUUAGAUGUCUAAAACAUUCAUUUAAAAUGAAAUUAUGACUAUUUGAAUAUAAUAAAAAUAUUCAAUAAAAUAUUCUAUUUUCUUAUAAAAUAAUAUUUAUAGAGUUACUGGUAAAUAAUUUUUGUAGCGUAAAAGCUAAAUAAAUUCAUACAUACUGUAAUACAGAUAACCAAAGUAUAAAAUUUAAUUUACAGUGACACGUGAGCCCACGAACGACCAAAAGUAUCAAAAGCUGAAAACUUACAGUUUUUGAGGAUGCAAGUCCAACUGUAGCCCUCAACGAAAUGAGUUAUCUACCGACUAUCCUGAGCCUGAAAUGGGUGGAAAGGAAGGUGGUGAGAUUAUAUAAUCCUAGUGAGUAAACAAAUUUCAUCUAAAGUAUCUAAAGUCGAGUAAAUGGAGACAAAUUAAAAUAGAUCAUCAUACUGUAAUUCAUCACUUUUCAACUCAUUUCAACCAAAUAAAAUCAAUUCAUAUAAAUCAAGUAAUCAACAUGGCUUAUGAACUUCUUAAAACUUUGGCUCAUGCCAAAAUCAUUCUUAUACUUAGUUAUCAGGGAUACCUUGGCCUAGGGCUAUCCCAACUGAGUUCGCCAAGGCUAUUAAAAAGUCAUGUACGCAUAAAUCAUGUUUUUAUUUUGAAAACAUAGCCGUUUCUUAGAGUUGCCUGAAUUCACCCUCACGUGGUGGUUUGGCGUGAAGUGAACUCUAAAGUUGUACCUCGGGAGUUACCUUACACACCUCUCCGACCGAGGUAAGAAUAUAAUGGGGUUACCGUGCCUCUCUAAUAGGUUGGUCCACGGAACCUGCCUACUGUAGUAAGCUAAACCCACCAUACGAUAAAAUUUACAAUAGCGUGACAUGGCAAUUAUAUCACAAUCCAAUCUCUCAAGGCUAAAUACACAGUUCAUAUAUUUCAACACAAAUACCAAUUUAGCCAUUCAUGCAAAUAUUGUCAUAAGCCAUUCGAUUCAAACCAUGAAUUUACAACACAUGAAAACAAUCUCUAAUUACUCUAUUUUCAAACCAUCAUUUCAUUUCAAGACAAUGUUAUAAAAUCAUUUAAUUAAAUCACAUUUUAAUUACAAAACACAAGGAUUUACCAUUUAACUCAUUUUCCAUAAAAUCACAAAAUCGGAUAAAAACCACUUUAGAUAAUUAAGAUGAUAGUAAGGUUACUCACUGUAAUGGGAAUCGAAUUUUGAGUGCUCCGAUUCUUGAUCCUCGGGUACUAUCUCUUUACUUUUGCUAAAAAGCUCACCACCUAUAUACAAUACAUGACACAUAAUUCAAUAUAUUGUGUCAUACCAUUAUAAAUCUAUUUCAGGCUCUUUACUAAUGUAUGAAAUGGGAUGUGAAACGCUCGGGUAACUAUCUAAAUAUGGUGUUCAAUAUAAAUUCAAUUAUGUUCCUAAAUAAAAUGGUAUUGGCCUAAUUUGAUCUAUCACCUGAUUAAUUGCCCAAUACGUCCAAUUUAACCCCAAUUAACUCCAUUUUUCUUCCAAUUCCCCAAACCAUCAAACACAAGUCAAAUAACAUAAAAUUUAACAAAAUCAUCCUCACAUUUCUU